GGCCAACCAAUUGAUAAUCGACGGUUCGUGCUUGUUAGACCGAUUAAAAGUCGGAAUCGAGGGAGUCAGUUGAAUUGCCCCAAUAGUUGCCCCUACUCCCAAGUCCAAAGUAGCCUGACAUGUGGAUUGGCAUGUGGUUUGACACAUUGGACGAAGGAAGUUGCCACGUGUUAUCUCGAGCCCCAAUUCGACUGCAGACAUUAAUGAUUUCUUUGAAAAAAAAUGAA
rnacentral:lncRNA from 1 species